rnacentral:rRNA from 1 species
UACGAAGGGGGCUAGCGUUGUUCGGAAUUACUGGGCGUAAAGCGCGUGUAGGCGGGUCCUUAAGUCAGGGGUGAAAUGCCAAGGCUCAACCUUGGAACUGCCUUUGAUACUGGGGAUCUUGAGUCCGGGAGAGGUGAGUGGAACUGCGAGUGUAGAGGUGAAAUUCGUAGAUAUUCGCAAGAACACCAGUGGCGAAGGCGGCUCACUGGCCCGGAACUGACGCUGAGACGCGAAAGCGUGGGGAGCCAAACAGGGAGUUAA